CCGCACUGUGGCGCCCAUCCUCAAGAUUCUAGGUGUGACGGGCGUCGUCAGUGGGCUGCUUGGAGCAUCUUCCUCAACGUUUUAUUCAUUAACUAGCAAAGCAUGCUUUUCCCCAUUUAGCCGCUUACGGCUUGACUUUCUCUCCACGGGGUGCUGUAAGAGAAAGAGCUCCAUGCGCUCAUUGGCCUUAGGCAGUCCUGAGUACACAUUAGGGUGUAAAGGUGGUUUUUUGAAUGACUAGUAUUGUUUGUACUAAGACAAAUAAUAGUAGUUCUUGAUGUCUCCCCCUUUUGUAAAGAAAAUCCUAUGAACUGUAUAUGUGUUAACUCAUGUAAUCCACCCAACUACCCUACAUGGUCAUAGCCAUUACUGUUCCCAUUUGAUGAAGAAACUGAGGCACGGAGAGCUUAAGGGAAAUCCCCAAAUCCCCAGAAGUUUCCAGAGCCGGGUUUCCAUUUCCAGGCCCUGGGCUCCAAAGCGCCAGUAAAGCCCUGGGCUGUGUCGACGGUGGCCGACAGGAAACGGGACCCUUUCAUGAACACACACACGGUUCCUGGUGCCCUGCCAUCGCCAGUCUAACGUUAUUCUAGUUAAAACGCCGCUGACGUGGCUCCUUUUAGGAAAUUGAGGUUUCACCGAACUCUACUCCAUUUUCGGCAACAUGAGUUAUGCUGAGGGUCCCCCUUUGUGCCGGAUGUUUGUGGCAGACAUGGCUGAGAUCGACUUUGGCUUCUCACGGCACCCCCAGGGUGAGCGCCCGCGCUCUGGUCUCUUCCUAAGUUAUGGCUUGCUCAACCUGCAGAGCAAACGCCACAACCACCAGAAACACUCAUGAUGUGCUUCUUUACAGAAAAUCAUUCUGCACCUCCUGACGUAACCACGUACACCUCAGAGCACUCCAUACAGAUGGAGUGACCACAGGGUUCCACGGGGUCCCGGACAGCGCCCGAGUACGGCAACGCCGAGCUCAUGGAGACCGGCGAUGGCCCACGGAUGACAGUAACCAGCCCCCGGGCUGGGGCGUCCUCUCCAUGCAUGGGCUGACCUAUGGAGUCAUUCGUUUGGACUCCGAAGAGAAGCUCUCUGUGCUCACCAUGCAGGAUGUCAGCCUCGUGAUGCCUGGAGCCCCUGGCAAUCGCCAGCCGACUUCCGUUUCUCUGGAUUUGCCCAUUCUGGACACCUGUUGUGAGGAGAAUCGUACAGUGCGUGACCUUCGGUGCUGACAUCUUUCACGUCCAAGGUGAGUGGAAUCUCACAGUGAGUGACCUGUUGACAGAUACCUGGACUGUUUCUACUACUACGAAUAAUGCUGCUAUGAAGACUCUUGCAUAAGAUUUUUUUGGCAAAAAUAUUUUCAAUUUACCUGGGCGUAUGCCUAGGAGUGAAAUUGCUGGGUUGUACGGUGAUUUCAUGCUUAACUUUUCUGAGAAACUGCCAGACUUUUCCAAAUCAACUGUACCAUUUUACUUCCCCAUACAUCAAGAUAUCAGUUUUCCCAAAUUCACCACCAUGUUACUGUCCAAUACUGGAGUUUUACCCAUCCCGGUGGUUAUGAAGUGGUAUCUCACGGUAGUUUUGAUUUCCAUUUCUAAGAUGAUGAAUUCUGCUAAACAUCUCAUGUGCUUUUUAAGGCAUUUAUAUGUCUUUCUUUGGAGAAUGUCUAUUCAAAUCCUUUGUCCAUUUUUAAAUUGGAUUUUUACUAAGAGCUUUUAAAUAUAUUCAUGAUAUCAGGUCAUUAUCAUGAUAAUGUAUCCUGUUCUGUGGGUUGUCUUUUUACUUUAAGAGUGUCCUGGGAAAUGAACAUUUUUAAUUUUGAUACCGUCUUUUUCCCUUCAGUUGCUUGUUACAGCUUUAGACGUCUCAGCCAAGGAAACAUUGCCUAAUCCAAUGUAGCAGUUUAACCAGGAUUCUUCCGUAAAGGUGUCAUGGGCUGAAUGUCCCCCCUCUCAAGAUUCCCAUGUUAAAAUCACAACCCCGGAAACUCAAAAUGUCACUGUACUUAGAUACAGGGCCUUUAACUUGGAAAUUUAGGUCACAUAAGAUCUUAAGAGUAGGCCCUGAUCCAGUAUGACUGGUAUUCUUCUGAGAGAAUUUAGACACAGUCCUCAGUGCUGCACGCACAUAAGAGAAACCUGUGAGGACACAGAGAGGACGCCGUCUACACAGCACGGGGUGAGGUCCCAGAGAAUCCAACACUGCGCGUACCUUGAUCCCAGGCUUCCAGUCUCCAGAAAAAAGGAAAUAAGAUGCUGUUGUUUAAGCCGCACGGUCUGUGGUGUCCGUUAUGGUACCCAGCAGACGGACAGAAUGGGUCUCACAGUCGACUCCUUACGCUGGAUCCAUUUUGAGCUUUGCGUGUAGGGUGAGGAAGGGUCCAGUCCAUCCUUUUCCAUGUCGAUACCCCAGUUGUCCCAGCACCA